rnacentral:RNase_P_RNA from 1 species
GCAGGAAGGUGGUUGAUCGCGGUGUAUUUAUACAUCGAGGAAAGUCCAGACUGCAUAAAGCAGGGGGACGGGGCGUAAGCUCCGACAGGUAACUGCUGGUCCCUUCACAGGGCAGAGGGUGAAUUAACAUCUUCUGAGAGCAACAGAGACGAGUUUUGUUAGACCCUAAAGGUUUAAUAAAGGUGAAACGGGCAAUCCCACCCCGCAGCAAUCUACGAUCGCACCGCUUUGAGCUUGCUUGGCAAGGUGCAAAGAUAGAGCUUAGAUAGAUGAUCAACGAGAAACAGGAUCUGGCUUAUUACCUUCCUGCAGAU